rnacentral:rRNA from 1 species
CGUAGGGCGCAAGCGUUGUCCGGAAUUAUUGGGCGUAAAGAGCUCGUAGGCGGUUUGUCGCGUCUGCUGUGAAAACCUAAGGCUCAACCUUGGGCUUGCAGUGGGUACGGGCAGACUAGAGUGCGGUAGGGGUGACUGGAAUUCCUGGUGUAGCGGUGGAAUGCGCAGAUAUCAGGAGGAACACCGAUGGCGAAGGCAGGUCACUGGGCCGCAACUGACGCUGAGGAGCGAAAGCAUGGGGAGCGAACAGG